rnacentral:rRNA from 1 species
UUGAACGCUGGCGGCAGGCCUAACACAUGCAAGUCGAGCGGUAACACAGAGAGCUUGCUCUCGGGUGACGAGCGGCGGACGGGUGAGUAAUGUCUGGGAAACUGCCUGAUGGAGGGGGAUAACUACUGGAAACGGUAGCUAAUACCGCAUAACGUCGCAAGACCAAAGUGGGGGACCUUCGGGCCUCAUGCCAUCAGAUGUGCCCAGAUGGGAUUAGCUAGUAGGUGGGGUAACGGCUCACCUAGGCGACGAUCCCUAGCUGGUCUGAGAGGAUGACCAGCCACACUGGAACUGAGACACGGUCCAGACUCCUACGGGAGGCAGCAGUGGGGAAUAUUGCACAAUGGGCGCAAGCCUGAUGCAGCCAUGCCGCGUGUGUGAAGAAGGCCUUCGGGUUGUAAAGCACUUUCAGCGGGGAGGAAGGCGGUGAGGUUAAUAACCUCAUCGAUUGACGUUACCCGCAGAAGAAGCACCGGCUAACUCCGUGCCAGCAGCCGCGGUAAUACGGAGGGUGCAAGCGUUAAUCGGAAUUACUGGGCGUAAAGCGCACGCAGGCGGUCUGUCAAGUCGGAUGUGAAAUCCCCGGGCUCAACCUGGGAACUGCAUUCGAAACUGGCAGGCUAGAGUCUUGUAGAGGGGGGUAGAAUUCCAGGUGUAGCGGUGAAAUGCGUAGAGAUCUGGAGGAAUACCGGUGGCGAAGGCGGCCCCCUGGACAAAGACUGACGCUCAGGUGCGAAAGCGUGGGGAGCAAACAGGAUUAGAUACCCUGGUAGUCCACGCCGUAAACGAUGUCGAUUUGGAGGUUGUGCCCUUGAGGCGUGGCUUCCGGAGCUAACGCGUUAAAUCGACCGCCUGGGGAGUACGGCCGCAAGGUUAAAACUCAAAUGAAUUGACGGGGGCCCGCACAAGCGGUGGAGCCUGUGGUUUAAUUCGAUGCAACGCGAAGAACCUUACCUGGUCUUGACAUCCACAGAACUUUCCAGAGAUGGAUUGGUGCCUUCGGGAACUGUGAGACAGGUGCUGCAUGGCUGUCGUCAGCUCGUGUUGUGAAAUGUUGGGUUAAGUCCCGCAACGAGCGCAACCCUUAUCCUUUGUUGCCAGCGGUUCGGCCGGGAACUCAAAGGAGACUGCCAGUGAUAAACUGGAGGAAGGUGGGGAUGACGUCAAGUCAUCAUGGCCCUUACGACCAGGGCUACACACGUGCUACAAUGGCAUAUACAAAGAGAAGCGACCUCGCGAGAGCAAGCGGACCUCAUAAAGUAUGUCGUAGUCCGGAUUGGAGUCUGCAACUCGACUCCAUGAAGUCGGAAUCGCUAGUAAUCGUAGAUCAGAAUGCUACGGUGAAUACGUUCCCGGGCCUUGUACACACCGCCCGUCACACCAUGGGAGUGGGUUGCAAAAGAAGUAGGUAGCUUAACCUUCGGGAGGGCGCUUACCACUUUGUGAUUCAUGACUGGGGUG